UACGUAGGUGACCAGCGUUGUCCGGAUUUACUGGGCGUAAAGAGCGCGCAGGCGGUCGUUCAAGUCGAGUGUGAAAGCCCCCGGCUCAACUGGGGAGGGUCACUCGAUACUGAUCGACUUGAAGGCAGGAGAGGGAAGCGGAAUUCCCGGUGUAGUGGUGAAAUGCGUAGAUAUCGGGAGGAACACCAGUGGCGAAGGCGACUACCUGGCCUGUUCUUGACGCUGAGGCGCGAAAGCUAGGGAGCAACGGG
rnacentral:rRNA from 1 species